AAGAGAUCUGAAGAGGGGUCUGACUAGUUUCUUCUCUCAAAAAAUCUCUCUUUUGAACGGCCCUCCCUAAUUUUUGUCAAAAAGGGUAUAAUAGAGGGAGGAGUAACAGUCUUUUCUCUAAAUCUCUGCAUUUAGUUUUUGCUGUACUCAGAUCAGGGACUUCUCGGUUUGUAUUUCAUUGAAAUAUGGGUGUAGAGGUGGAAGCUAAGUUAGUUCAUGUUCCAGUUGAAGCUGGAACUGAACAGAUCAAUCUUCUGAAAGAAAAUGGAAAGCCGAAUCAUGUUUCAGGGAUUACGGAGCCAAUAAAAUUCGGCUCUCAUGGGACUGAAGAACCUAAGGAGGAAAUAAGUAGAAUUCCUGUGAGCAAUGUUCCAAAGGAUGCGGUUGAGGAUUGGCCUGAACCUAAGCAGGUCCAUUCGUUCUAUACUGUUAAAUUUCGGAGAUUUGACGACCCUAAACUGAAAGCCAGAAUUGAACUGGCUGAAAAAGAGCUACAGAAAAAGAACCAAGCUAGAUCUCAGAUCAUUGAAAAAUUGAAGGCCAAAAGGGCUGAAAAAUCAAUUUUCAUUGAACAAAGGAAAGCCCUCAGUGCUGAGAAUAAGGAAUUUCGGAGUGCUAUUGAUGGUAAGAUAAAGGAAAUGGCACCUCUGCAUGAGGCUUUGGGCCAGCUCCGCGGUUCUAGGAAUGCAGGCCGAGAGAGGGGUCCUACAGUGUGUUCAUCUGAGGAGGAGCUCAAUCAUCUUAUCAAGGGUCUGCAAUACCGCAUUCAGCAUGAAAGCAUUCCUCUGAACGAAGAGAAGCAAAUUCUUCGGGAAAUCAAACAACUUGAAGGAACAAGGGAAGAUGUUAAAAAGGUUGCUGCUGCAAGAGCACAGAUUCAUGAGACGAUGGGUGAAAAAGAAUCAAUCCAGAGUCAGGUCAAACUUAUGAAUGUUGGCUUGGAUGGAGUUCGUAAGGGACAACAGGAAGUCAAGGGCAGGCUUAAGAUAAUAGAUGAUCAGAUUGAUGCCAUAAACAAACAGAUCGGUAUAUUGGAUGAGGAAUUGAAGGACGUUGUGGAGAAGAGGGACAAGACUUAUGAACAUAUUCUGGAAUUGAGAAAACAGCGUGAAGAAGGGAAUUCUUCUUUCUAUCAAAACUCCAACGUGUUGCACAAAGUGAAACAACUUGCUGACCAAAAGGAUGUUGGAGCCCUUAAAGAGCUUUCAGUUACAGAGGUCGACAAGUUCAUUUCUCUUUGGUGUGGUAGUAAGUCUUUUAGAGAUGACUAUGAGAGGAGACUCUUGCAGUCGCUUGAUAUUAGGCAGCUGAGCAGGGACGGCAGGAUGAGGAAUCCUGAUGAAAAGCCACUGGUGUUACCAGAAGCACCUACUGUCUCCCGUGCUGAAGUUCCAGCAAGAGCUAAUGCAAAACCCGUUAAGGAAGAUCAUGCACCCGUUGAUGCUGCUCCGAUUCAGAAAGAACAGCAAGAGGUUAGCGGCAAGCAGCUGAAUGAUGCUCGUGGUAAAAACUCAAAAAGCACAGAGAAAAAAGCUGUUGUUGAUGAUGAUGAGGAAAUCUAUGGUUUGGACCUACACAAGGAUUCUAAGCCCAAGAAAAUCGAAAUUGAUGAGGCAACACUGAAGGAGAUGAAGAAAGAGGAGGAGAUGGCAAAAAAUAAACAGGCUAUGGAGAGGAAGCGUAAGUUGGCCGAGAAAGCAGCUGCAAAAGCUGCAAAGAAAGCUCAGCUAGAAGCUGAAAAGAAGCUCAAGGAACGUGAGAAGAAAGCAAAGAAGAAGAGCGGAGCUUCUGCUGCUGGUCAGGAACCAAUCGAGGAACCAACUGAAACACCCGAGGAAAUUGCUGAGGAAGAAAAUGCAGAGGAGACUGUUGAAACAGCCGUUGCACCCAAGGUCAAGGCACGGAAAGAGAACACCAUCAGGCACAGAGCAACACGUGCAAGAGGCUCCGAGCUUCCCAAAGCUAUACUAAAGCGCAAGAAAGCAACAAACUACUGGCUAUGGGCAGCUGCUCCUGCUGCACUCGCGAUUCUGGUACUUCUAGUCAUCGGAUACAUGUAUCUUCAAAAGUAGAAAGAGGCAGGUGGGGAGAGACAAAACAAAAAACAAAAACUUUGUUUUUAGUGUUUUAAUUUUUUGUUUACAAAUACUGCAAUAGCAAGUACUGUUUAGUUUGAUCAUAACAAUAUUUCUUUUUCUUGCAUCCUAUAUAGUUUAGGAUGGAAAACUCAUAAAUGUUUUGCUGGUAGAUGUGCGGCCUAUCUUGAGAUUACUUACUGGAGAGACA
rnacentral:misc_RNA from 1 species